rnacentral:rRNA from 1 species
UGUGCACAUCAGAGGGCGCGAGUGGUCUGUCCCUUGCCAACGGGCCUCGAUUCCUCCGUGGGUUCGAGGCUUGGAGGGGUGGAUCCUGGCGACCUCCUUCACAUCACAAACUCUUGAACGUAUCCAGAACGUGUAGCAGCCCUCGUGUGGGGCAGUCCUUNAUUACGACUUUCUACAACGGAUCUCUUGGCUCUCGCAUCGAUGAAGAACGCAGCGAAAUGCGAUAAGUAAUGUGAAUUGCAGAAUUCAGUGAAUCAUCGAAUCUUUGAACGCACCUUGCGCUCCUUGGUAUUCCGAGGAGCAUGCCUGUUUGAGNGUCGUGAAGUCUUCAACUUUGUCUCGCUUUGAAAAUUGCGAGGCGAGGCUUGGAUUUGGGGGUUGUUGGCCUCUUGCCUCCCUUGCCGGGGGCUUGAGGGGGGUCGACUCCUCUGGGAAUGCAUUAGCUCGAGGUUGGCUUCGGGCGGUCCGUGGCGUGAUAGGUUUUUGUUACGUCUCGAUAAUUCCGUCUCGGAGCCGUGUGGCUUCGGCUUCGAAUCGUCCCUCUUGGGGGACUGACUCCAUCUUGAAUCUGACCUCAAAUCAGGCAGGACUACCCGCUGAACUUAAGCAUAUCAAUAAGCGGAGGAAAAGGAAACUAACAAGGAUUCCCCUAGAUAACUGCGAGUGAAGCGGGAAAAGCUCAAAUUUAAAAUCUGGCGACCUCGUCGUCCGAGUUGUAAUCUGGAGAAGCAUUUUCUGUGUCGGACCGUGUACAAGUCUCUUGGAACAGAGCGUCGUAGAGGGUGAGAAUCCCGUCUUUGACACGGACUGCCGAUGCUAUGUGAUGUGCUCUCGAAGAGUCGAGUUGUUUGGGAAUGCAGCUCAAAAUGGGUGGUAAAUUCCAUCUAAAGCUAAAUAUUGGCGAGAGACCGAUAGCGAACAAGUACCGUGAGGGAAAGAUGAAAAGCACUUUGGAAAGAGAGUUAAACAGUACGUGAAAUUGUUGAAAGGGAAACGCUUGAAGUCAGUCGCGUCGUCCGGGACUCAGCCUUGCUCUUUUGCUCGGUGUACUUCCCGGCUGACGGGCCAACAUCGAUUUUGGCCGGCGGAUAAAGGCGAGAGGAAUGUGGCACCUUCUGGUGUGUUAUAGCCUCCCGUUGGAUACGCCGGCCGGGAUCGAGGACCGCAGCAUGCCUUUUUGGCCGGGGUUCGCCCACGUAACAUGCUUAGGAUGUUGGCGUAAUGGCUUUAAACGACCCGUCUUGAAACACGGACCAAGGAGUCUAACAUGCCCGCGAGUGUUAGGGUGGAAAACCCUUGCGCGUAAUGAAAGUGAAAGUUGGGACCUCUGUCGUGGAGGGCACCGACGCCCGGCCUUGAACUUCUGUGACGGUGCCGCGGUGGAGCGUGUAUGUUGGGACCCGAAAGAUGGUGAACUAUGCCUGAAUAGGGUGAAGCCAGAGGAAACUCUGGUGGAGGCUCGUAGCGAUUCUGACGUGCAAAUCGAUCGUCAAAUUUGGGUAUAGGGGCGAAAGACUAAUCGAACCAUCUAGUAGCUGGUUCCUGCCGAAGUUUCCCUCAGGAUAGCAGAAGCUCAUAUCAGAUUUAUGUGGUAAAGCGAAUGAUUAGAGGCCUUGGGGUUGAAACAACCUUAACCUAUUCUCAAACUUUAAAUAUGUAAGAACAAGCCGUCUCUUGGUUGGACCGCUUGGCGAUUGAGAGUUUCUAGUGGGCCAUUUUUGGUAAGCAGAACUGGCGAUGCGGGAUGAACCGAACGCGAGGUUAAGGUGCCGGAAUGCACGCUCAUCAGACACCACAAAAGGUGUUAGUUCAUCUAGACAGCAGGACGGUGGCCAUGGAAGUCGGAAUCCGCUAAGGAGUGUGUAACAACUCACCUGCCGAAUGAACUAGCCCUGAAAAUGGAUGGCGCUCANGCGUGCUACCNAUACCUCGCCGUCANCGUUGAAGUGAAGCGCUGACGAGUAGGCAGGCGUGAGGNUCGUGAAGAAGCCUAGGCAGUGAUGC